UGGGACGUGGUGUACGGUGCACCGCUGCAUUUGAUAAAAGUGGAUCGUGUUUAAAAUUUGCAGUAGACCGGGGUUCGACUCCCCGCGUUCCAC